GAUGAACGCUAGCGGCAGGCUUAAUACAUGCAAGUCGAGGGGCAGCACGGGUAGCAAUACCUGGUGGCGACCGGCAAACGGGUGCGGAACACGUACGCAACUUUCCCAAAACUGGUGAAUAGCCCUCCGAAAGGAGGAUUAAUACACCGUAACAUAAUGAAGUGGCAUCACUUUAUUAUUAUAGCUCCGGCGGUUUUGGAUGGGCGUGCGCCUGAUUAGGUAGUUGGCGGGGUAACGGCCCACCAAGCCUUCGAUCAGUAACUGGUGUGAGAGCACGACCAGUCACACGGGCACUGAGACACGGGCCCGACUCCUACGGGAGGCAGCAGUAAGGAAUAUUGGUCAAUGGACGCAAGUCUGAACCAGCCAUGCCGCGUGAAGGAUGAAGGUCCUCUGGAUUGUAAAACUUCUUUUAUCUGGGACGAAAAAAAGGGAAUUCUUUCUCACUUGACGGUACCAGAGGAAUAAGCACCGGCUAAACUCCGUGCCAGCAGCCGCGGUAAU
rnacentral:rRNA from 1 species